AGUUAUCUGAACCUUCGGGGAACGAUAACGGCGUCGAGCGGCGGACGGGUGAGUAAUGCCUAGGAAAUUGCCCUGAUGUGGGGGAUAACCAUUGGAAACGAUGGCUAAUACCGCAUGAUGCCUACGGGCCAAAGAGGGGGACCUUCGGGCCUCUCGCGUCAGGAUAUGCCUAGGUGGGAUUAGCUAGUUGGUGAGGUAAGGGCUCACCAAGGCGACGAUCCCUAGCUGGUCUGAGAGGAUGAUCAGCCACACUGGAACUGAGACACGGUCCAGACUAAUACGGGAGGCAGCAGUGGGGAAUAUUGCACAAUGGGCGCAAGCCUGAUGCAGGCCAUGCCGCGUAUGAAGAAGGCCUUCGGGUUGUAAAGUACUUUCAGUCGUGAGGAAGGCGUUGUCGUUAAUAGCGGCAUCGUUUGACGUUAGCGACAGAAGAAGCACCGGCUAACUCCGUGCCAGCAGCCGCGGUAAUACGGAGGGUGCGAGCGUUAAUCGGAAUUACUGGGCGUAAAGCGCAUGCAGGUGGUUUGUUAAGUCAGAUGUGAAAGCCCGGGGCUCAACCUCGGAAUAGCAUUUGAAACUGGCAGACUAGAGUACUGUAGAGGGGGGUAGAAUUUCAGGUGUAGCGGUGAAAUGCGUAGAGAUCUGGAAUACCGGUGGCGAAGGCGGCCCCCUGGACAGAU
rnacentral:rRNA from 1 species